GUCUAUGGCCAUAACACCCUGAACAAGUCCAACGUCUGAUCUCAGAAGCUAAGCAGGGUCGGGCCUGGUUAUUACUUGGAUGGGAGACUACCUAGGAAGACCAGGUGCUGUAGGCA
rnacentral:rRNA from 1 species